AUUGAACGCUGGCGGCAUGCCUAACACAUGCAAGUCGAGCGGAACGGCGGACGGGGGAUUACUGCCUAGGAAUCUGCCUGGUAGUGGGGUGUAACGUCCGGAAACGGGCGCUAAUGCCGAAUACGAUAAAGUUAGUCUAGGUCGGAUUAGCUAGUUGGUGGGGUAAAGGCCUACAAAGGCGACGAUGCGAACCCGACCUGAGGGGAUGAUCAGUCACACUUGAACUGAGACACGGCCCAGACUCCUACGGGAGGCAGCAGUGGGGAAUAUUCGACAAUGGACGAAAGCCUGAGCCAGCCAUGCCGCGUGAGUGAAGAAGGUUUUCGGAUUGUAAAGCACUUUAAGUUGGGAGGCGGUACCUACAGAAUAAGCAACGGCUAACUACGUGCCAGCAGCCGCGGUAAUAC
rnacentral:rRNA from 1 species